UGGGGAAUAUUGGACAAUGGGGGGAACCCUGAUCCAGCCAUGCCGCGUGUGUGAAGAAGGUCUUCGGAUUGUAAAGCACUUUAAGUUGGGAGGAAGGGCAGUAAGCGAAUACCUUGCUGUUUUGACGUUACCGACAGAAUAAGCACCGGCUAACUCUGUGCCAGCAGCCGCGGUAAUACAGAGGGUGCAAGCGUUAAUCGGAAUUACUGGGCGUAAAGCGCGCGUAGGUGGUUCGUUAAGUUGAAUGUGAAAGCCCCGGGCUCAACCUGGGAACUGCAUCCAAAACUGGCGGGCUAGAGUAGGGCAGAGGGUGGUGGAAUUUCCUGUGUAGCGGUGAAAUGCGUAGAUAUAGGAAGGAACACCAGUGGCGAAGGCGACCACCUGGGCUCAUACUGACACUGAGGUGCGAAAGCGUGGGGAGCAAACAGG
rnacentral:rRNA from 1 species